AACGAACGCUGGCGGCAGGCCUAACACAUGCAAGUCGAACGGCAGCGGGGGAUAGCUUGCUAUCCUGCCGGCGAGUGGCGGACGGGUGAGUAAUGCAUGGGGAGCUGCCCAAUCGAGGGGGAUAACAACUGGAAACGGUUGCUAAUACCGCAUACGCCCUGCGGGGGAAAGGUGGGGACCUUCGGGCCUACCGCGAUUGGAUGCACCCAUGUGGGAUUAGCUAGUUGGUGAGGUAACGGCUCACCAAGGCGACGAUCUCUAGCUGGUCUGAGGGAAUGACCAGCCACACUGGAACUGAGACACGGUCCAGACUCCUACGGGAGGCAGCAGUGGGGAAUAUUGCACAAUGGGGGAAACCCUGAUGCAGCCAUGCCGCGUGUGUGAAGAAGGCCUUCGGGUUGUAAAGCACUUUCAGUGGGGAGGAAGGGCUGAUGACUAAUAUUCAUCAGCAUUGACGUUACCCACAGAAGAAGCACCGGCUAACUCCGUGCCAGCAGCCGCCGUAA
rnacentral:rRNA from 1 species